rnacentral:ribozyme from 1 species
GAAACUCUCCAGCAGUGGAAUCGAAGACUCCGGCGACGAGGACGAGGAGAACCUCAAGGCUGGGGAGGAGGUGGCGCCGGGCUUGAUCUGCUUUGAACAGGUG